AUCUCUCCUAUCACGUCCACAGGAAUAAACGCAUCCCCCGAUCUAACCCUGUCGCGCUAAGCCAAACCUCCCAUCCCACGCCGCCGCCGCAGCAUCGAUGGGACGCAAAGACUCCUCAUCGUCUUCCUCCUCCGCCGCCGCCGCCGGCGGGAAGAAGGACAAGCCCAUGUCGGUCUCCGCCAUGCUUGCCUCCAUGGACGCGCCCGCGGCCAAGGGCAAGCCCUCCAAGUCGGCGGCGCCCUCCAAGCCCAAGGGCAAGCCAUCUAAGGCGCCGGCCUCCUCCUACAUGGGAGACAUCGACCUGCCCCCCUCCGACGAGGAGGAGGACGAGGUCGAGCUCGCCGCAGCCAAGCCCAAGCCGUCCCGCGCCGCCGCCGUCGACCUCAGCGCCGGCGUCGCGACGUCGCAGAAGGACGCGAAGAAGAAGGACAAGCGUGAGGCCAUGGCGGCCGCGGCCGCCGAGGCCGCCAGGCGGGAGGCGCUCCGCGACGACCGCGACGCCUUCUCCGUCGUCAUCGGCGCGCGCGUCCCCGGAUCCGCCACCGCCGAUGACGGCGCCGUCGACGACAACGUCAAGGAUAUCGUGCUCGAGAACUUCUCCGUCUCCGCGCGCGGCAAGGAGCUGCUCAAGAGCGCCUCCCUCCGGAUCUCGCACGGCCGGAGGUACGGCCUCGUCGGCCCCAACGGCAUGGGCAAGUCCACCCUGCUCAAGCUCCUGGCCUGGCGCCAGGUCCCCGUGCCCAGGAACAUUGAUGUCUUGCUCGUGGAGCAGGAGAUUAUUGGUGAUGACCGGUCGGCCCUCGAGGCUGUGGUUGCUGCUGAUGAGGAGCUCACAGCUCUCCGUGCUGAGCAGGCCAGGCUUGAGGCGUCUAAUAAUGCUGAUGACAACGAGCGUCUUGUUGAGGUGUAUGAGAAGCUGAAUCUCCGGGACUCGGAUGCCGCCCGGGCGCGUGCAUCCAAGAUCCUCGCAGGGCUGGGGUUUGAUCAGGCUAUGCAGGCCAGAUCCACAAAGUCCUUCAGCGGUGGCUGGAGGAUGCGCAUAUCACUAGCCCGUGCGCUCUUCAUGCAGCCAACACUGCUGCUCCUGGAUGAGCCGACUAACCAUCUGGAUCUCAGAGCUGUGCUGUGGUUGGAGGAAUACUUGUGCUCACAGUGGAAGAAGACGUUGAUCGUUGUGUCCCAUGACCGAGACUUCCUGAAUACAGUGUGCAAUGAGAUCAUACAUUUGCAUGAUAAGAGUCUGCAUGUCUAUCGUGGCAAUUUUGAUGAUUUUGAGAGUGGCUAUGAGCAGAAGAGGAAUGAGAUGAACAAAAAGUUUGAGGUGUAUGAGAAGCAAAUGAAAGCAGCCAGGAAGUCCGGUAGCAAGGCUGCCCAGGAUAAGGUUAAAGGUCAGGCGCUGUCAAAGGCGGCUAAAGAGGCCGCCAAGAAAAAGGGUAAAGGGAAGAAUGCAGCAGAUGAUGAUGAUGACCAGAAACAGGUGGCUGUUCCACAGAAGUGGCGUGACUACAGUGUUGAGUUCCAUUUCCCAGAGCCCACUGAGCUCACACCACCUCUCCUUCAACUCAUUGAGGUAGGGUUCAGCUACCCAGGUAGGCCAGACUUCAAGCUGUCUGAUGUUGAUGUUGGCAUUGAUAUGGGAACUCGUGUAGCUAUUGUUGGGCCCAAUGGGGCAGGGAAGUCUACCCUGCUUAAUUUACUUGCUGGUGAUCUUAGCCCUACAGAAGGGGAGGUUAGGAGGAGUCAGAAGCUGAGGAUUGGGCGAUACUCACAGCAUUUUGUUGACUUGUUGACAAUGGAGGAAAAUGCAGUUCAAUAUUUGUUGAGGCUUCACCCAGAUCAAGAGGGAAUGAGCAAAGCAGAGGCUGUCCGUGCUAAACUUGGGAAGUUUGGGUUACCUGGACACAACCAUCUCACUCCAAUUGUUAAAUUGUCUGGUGGUCAGAAGGCCCGCGUUGUGUUCACUUCUAUAUCAAUGUCUCAACCUCACAUUCUCCUGCUUGAUGAACCAACAAAUCACUUGGACAUGCAAAGUAUUGAUGCUUUAGCAGAUGCGCUGGAUGAGUUCACUGGAGGUGUUGUCUUGGUUAGUCAUGACUCACGAUUAAUAUCUCGUGUUUGUGAGGAUGAGCAAAGGAGUGAGAUAUGGGUUGUGGAGGAUGGCACAGUGAAGAAAUAUGAUGGUACAUUUGAGGAUUACAAGGAUGAACUCAUGGAAGAAAUAAAGAAGGAAGUUGAAGAAUAAUGCUGCUCCAAAUGGCAGAUGAUUAGGCACGCGAUGCACGUCCUACCAUUUUAACAAUCAAAUCCAACAAUAGAAUCAAAUAAACAUUAGAGAGCAGGAUCUCUGUCGAGAUCCUUGUGGUGACUGAUGAUCUGCGUCGGGAGGAUCUGAAUCUUGCUCGCGACAUGAAGGAUUUGGAUUUAUCAGCGGCGAAAAAGGGUACAUCUGGAUCUAGCUAUGGAGAUUUUUCGGUGCUUGCUAAGAUAAUAACCUUUACAAGGCAUUGGUAACCUUUACGAGGCAUUGUUAAACUUCAGAGCAUUAGCAAGUUGUGCCAAACAUUCGAGGAGCGAGCACCAUCAACCUGGCUGCUGGGUUGAUUCCGGCUGGGCUGAGCAGCCCAAGCCGUUCCGCUGCCCUCCACCAGCCGUUCGGCUGCCCAACUAGCACAGUCCCCUCCACUUUUGGUGCAACGAAGCACUGCAGCUGCCGGUUUGAACCAGGCAGCGGGGCUGCUGCAGGGCUACUGCUGGCUGCAACAGCUCCAUCCCAAAGCAGCCCAGCGAAGAUCAGCCGAACAGAGUGAUUGAAAUACAGGGCACACAAGAACACCCGAGCCAAGGUGCCAUUAUUUCUUAGUACACUUAUCUGGUUGUUUAUGCAUGUUCGUUGCUGCAACUCUUGGGCAACUCCUUGCUUCUACAUGUAACCCAAUGUUGAGUGCACAAGUAUUCUUACGUCUAGGUAAUCAUGCAGGUAAAUACUUACCUUUUUUUCCCAUCCUCCCUGGUUUAUUCCUUUACCAUUGGCAAUUGUGUAUUUUUCAGCACUAUUCACAGGUGUUGUUCCCAAUGAACAUCUGGUACUCUUGCUUUUAUAUUAUGCUCACCAACUUUAAUUAGUGGUUUAAAGAGGAGAUGUUUGUGUUCCAAGCGCCGCUGAUACAAUCGUGCCUGGGAUCCAAAUCCUGUGUGUCUUGAACCAAUGAGUGGAUUAGUUGAGGCUUACGGUGAGGGGUCAAAGUCCGGCGAACCAGCUUGGUCACCAUGUUGCAGAGGCAAGAACCAUUCGUGCUUGCUUAUUGUGCUGAUUUGUUCCUUCACUCCAAGAUGAUGUUUUGUCGAUUGGGAAAUCCACUCCAAUCCUAGUUUCAGCAGAAUCCAGUAAAUCUGCAGCGCAGGUUCAGGUCUGGAUGUUGUGCAGAUGCAUCAACACUGAAGCACUACCAAUAGGCAGCAACCCAUCAUGAGGGGAACCUAUUUUAAGAUAUCACCAGAUUGCACUUCAUGGGAGAUAGCUUCUAUCAGUUCAGAACCUUAGUUGUGCACUUCAUAGCUCCUGUCAGCUUCUAUCUGUUUUCAGAAAUAUUUCUGGUGUGUCACCAGAGCACUUCAUCUUCUAGCAAAACUGACCUCAUGUCUGGACUCUUUUAUGUGAUAUCUAUGAAGCCUUGUAAUAUUCAGCCGAGAUGUAGUGCUAGUGCUUGCCCAGAUGCACAAGUUACACGCAUUAAUGUACCUUUAGCAAUAUCUUGUAUAUUUUGCUCUGGGGACAAGCACCAGCUCUAAGAUUGUCAAUUAUUACUGAGAUAUUACAACCUCAACACGUAACAGGGGCUUUGGUCACAACAAGGAUCACAUAACCUACUACUAUUCAGCGUAGUCCGUUUGGUCGCACCAGCUCAGUGGUGCGAUAGGUAGCCUUUGUCGCGUCAUUGCGGCUGGCGCGACAAGCAAUGUUCUCACGGCGCUGCGGCGACUCGUGGCGACCUACCCCCCUCACAACUCCUAGGCGUAUAAGGCGCGCGGCGAGGCGAUGCCAUAGACGUAUCCUAAAUAUACUAUGAUAGCAAAAAAUUUAGUAGCGUAUACAUACCUUUGUUGAGUUGUUGUACCAUAGAUUAUUCCCUUCCCAAUUGCUCCUGCCAUCCUUUCUCUUCUUCCAAGCAGCAAGCUACAUAAAGAAUGAGUAAGAAAUCAAUUAGCAAGACCAACAACAAUAUGACACUCCCAUCUGCCUGAGCUUGAGGGUCAAUCUGUGAUGUCCUAGUAGCCGAUCCAGUAGGAGAAAAGACCAUUUGACUACCUGUUGAUAGACCGGUCCCACAAAACCAGGUGUUCCCCUAUCUUGUAGCAUCUUGAGCACAGCAUUGUGAACAUGGUUAGCCAUGAUUUACAAAAGAUUGUCCGAUCUCUUGAUUCA